rnacentral:rRNA from 1 species
UACGUAGGUGGCAAGCGUUGUUCGGAAUUAUUGGGCGUAAAGAGCGUGUAGGCGCCAAGCAGGUCCGUUGUGAAAACUGGAGGCUUAACCUCCAGACGUCGACGGAAACCGCGUGGCUAGAGUCCGGAAGAGGAGAGUGGAAUUCCUGGUGUAGCGGUGAAAUGCGCAGAUAUCAGGAGGAACACCAAUAGCGAAGGCAGCUCGCUGGGACGGUACUGACGCUAAGGCGCGAAAGCGUGGGGAGCGAACAGG